CCCCCCCCCCCCCCCCCCGCAUUGUUCCCCCCCCCCCCCCCCCGCCCUUCGGAUUGAGUGCGAAGCAAUAUUUUUCCUGCCAUGUACAUAACUUGCACUGCUAAGGUUGUCUGGAGGAAUAGUUGUAGAGAAUCAGAUACUUGAUAGCUCCUUUUUUUGGUAACAAUUGAACAUCUUGGAAUUUGUAUUAUCUCCUUUUACGGCACUUGCUGUUUAUUUCUUAUCAUCUUAAUAUGCAGGCCGCUCUAUUCACUCUCUCACACAUUCUCUCUCCCUCUAUAUCUAUCUAUCUCUAUCUCUGUUUGUCUGUCUGUCUCUCUCUCUGUCUCUCUCUCUGACUCUUUCUCUCUCUCUGGAAAACUGCAACCUUUGCAAGGGGUUUAAAGAGGACAACGGGGCACCUCUGGCUCGGGGCAUGAAGCACAGGCUCUGCCUCUUCCCUCCCCACCCCCAGAAACGCUGGGGCUUGGCACCCGCCACAAAAGUGCUGGCGAAACCUUUGGAAAGGCUCUGAAAUUUCUUCUCUUGCCUGGUCGAACCCUCCCGGAGCCUGGUUCGAAUCUCCGGAGGUGACGAAGGAGUCCGAGGGUUGGUUGGUUUUUUGUUUUUCCCCCCCCUCUUCAUGGCUUCCUGCAGAUUCUUACGUUAAGUGCAAUUCCCCUUGUAAAUAAACUCCCCUUGGAUUUUGUGCAUGGUUAUUCUGUAUUGUGGAUAUAUAUAAAGAUUG